UGCCGCUCAUCAGGUUUGCAUGGUCGCCCCCAAAGCUGGUCUUUCCGGUCAGUUCCAGGGUCAACACUUUGUGUUCACGCAGCCUUCUUCAGGAGUGAAAAUAAUCCCUGCGGAAUGUUUAAGCGUUGCGGCGAGCUCCCGGCGAGCCGUGAUUAAAAGUGCAUUACCUGAUCCCAGCCGUUCCCUCAACGAGCGCCGCUAAACGCCUCCUCGUCUACCUGCUGAUUAAUUGAACGCGCGCGGCCACAUUUCAGCGCACUUUGUUUCCCCGUCCGCGCUCAUCCGCCGUUUAUUCCAGACACGUUUCCCGCGUCUCUCUAGGAGUCCAAUUAAGGAUUUACAUUGUGACAGAAUUUUUCACUUUAAUUACCAUACGUCCGGAGCGCUUUUGACGGAUUUUCUUAUUCAUCAAACGACACACGGGAGUUGAAUUCAUCAAGCAAAUGGAUGCUCGGCUUGUGUAAUUGCCGAGGCUUUUGUCUCCGGAAAACAUUCCGAUGACGGCUUGUCUCGAGCGGAGAAGUGACGGAACACUUGCUUUCCUUUCCCAGGAUUCCUCGGUCAUCGGUGACAAGCAGAGACAUGCGGUACUUUGUGCUGAAGGGGGGGCCUACGGUGCUCAAUGCCGCCGCUUUAUGUCCACUUGUCCACUUGACCAGCGACACCUUCCUGAUUCUGCACCUCCUUCUGCAGCGUUCCCGUGGACUUCCGACCUAAAGUGCCACUUUACUUUACGCCCAUGCCGCUACCAAGUGCUCCCGAGGACUUCCGGACAGCCGAUGGCGCCAUCCUCGAUGAACUCGUUUCCUGGAGCGACAUCAGCGGAAUUCAACCUCUCAUCCUAAAGCCGGGUAUAAGACGACAAUGGGCAAUCAAGUGCAGAGAAGACAGAGACGGACGCCCGCCUGGCGUUCUCAGCAGUGAUGAUGUCACAGAUGACUGACGUGAAUGACCACCUUUACAGGAAGUAUGAAAGUAUUUCAGUUGAAACGCACUAGAAAAAGGCAGCUAUUCCUGAUAUGGGUAUAUGUGGUAUAUGGGCACGCCCCCAUACGCUUGGUUGUGACCUAGGCUGGACCAAGUUUGUCCUUUUGAGAUAAUAGUAUUCCAAUGGAAUCAGCUGUUUACAUUGUAAAGAUGGCGUGUCCCGCCGCCAGGUCCCGUCAGUGACAGCGGUUAGAGUCCGGCUUCUUGUGGUCCAGGACCAGCAGCUUCAGCAGAAAAUCGGUGAGUAAUCGACACGCCUCUUUUGAAGACCCAUGUUGACCUUGUCCUGUGAUUUCUGUUCAACAUUUACAAUAACAGUGACUGUUAGAAUACUUUCAUCAAAUUCCGCUCCCCUUUAGUCUUCAACGGCCAUUGUGGACUCGCCACACCAUCCGAGUGGAAUCAUCUGCUGCAACCUGUUUAGAAUCCCUCAACGUUGUGGUCCUUGCAGGCCGGCAUGGCAUGCAGAUCCAGGCUGGCUAAUCAUCUCAUUCCAGAGCGGAAUGGAAUAAAUCAGGAAAAAAGGGUGAUGGCCGCCUGCUAGCGAGGUAGCCGGAAGCCAGCUGCGGCGUUCCCGCCUAAUGCCCAAUUUUCCCGUGGCACCUCCUUGGCGUGAGGCAGCAAAUAUCCUCUGGGCCUCUUCAUUAGGCCACCAGGCCCGCGCGCCCCCUCGUUGUCUCUCCGAGGGGGAAGCACGCGGGAGAAGCGGCGAGGCCGUCACAGGCGACGCGUUUAUGUACCCCGGAAAUCCAACACCUGCCAGCGUGGGACGUCGUCAUGCUCCGCUGCAUCAUCUUGUUGGACCACUUGCUGCUGCAGUUGACGUUGAAGUGGAGAUGGCGAUAAAGACCAGCGACCCCCGGGGGGCUGGUCCAUGCGAGGGAGUCUUCAGGUGGCAUCGCUUGAUGCCUGAUGGAUCUUUGAUCCGUAGCUCGGUACGUGAAAGUCCACAA